rnacentral:rRNA from 1 species
GGGCGAACGGGUGAGUAAUAUAUCGGAACGUGCCCAGUCGUGGGGGAUAACGUAGCGAAAGCUACGCUAAUACCGCAUACGAUCUAUGGAUGAAAGCGGGGAUCGCAAGACCUCGCGCGAUUGGAGCGGCCGAUAUCAGAUUAGGUAGUUGGUGAGGUAAAGGCUCACCAAGCCGACGAUCUGUAGCUGGUCUGAGAGGACGACCAGCCACACUGGGACUGAGACACGGCCCAGACUCCUACGGGAGGCAGCAGUGGGGAAUUUUGGACAAUGGGCGCAAGCCUGAUCCAGCAAUGCCGCGUGCAGGAUGAAGGCCUUCGGGUUGUAACUGCUUUGUACGGAACGAAACGGUGAGCUCUAAUACAGUUUGCUAAUGACGGUACCGUAAGAAUAAGCACCGGCGUAACUACGUG